rnacentral:rRNA from 1 species
GAUGAACGCUAGCGACAGGCCUAACACAUGCAAGUCGAGGGGCAGCACAAGGUAGCAAUACUGAGGUGGCGACCGGCGCACGGGUGAGUAACGCGUAUGCAACCUGCCUGUAACAGGGGAAUAGCCUCUUGAAAGAGAGAUUAAUGCCGCAUAAUACGAGAUUCGGGCAUCCGGAUUUAGUUAAACAUUUAUGGGUUACAGAUGGGCAUGCGUUUCAUUAGGUAGUUGGUGAGGUAACGGCUCACCAAGCCGACGAUGAAUAGGGGUUCUGAGAGGAAGGUCCCCCACACUGGUACUGAGACACGGACCAGACUCCUACGGGAGGCAGCAGUGAGGAAUAUUGGUCAAUGGACGCAAGUCUGAACCAGCCAAGUCGCGUGAAGGAUGAAGGUAUUAUGUAUUGUAAACUUCUUUUGUCAGGGAAUAAUGGGUGUCACGUGUGACGCAGAGGAAUGUACCUGACGAAUAAGCAUCGGCUAACUCCGUGCCAGCAGCCGCGGUAAUACGGAGGAUGCGAGCGUUAUCCGGAUUUAUUGGGUUUAAAGGGUGCGUAGNNGGUUUGUUAAGUCAGUGGUGAAAGUUUGCGGCUCAACCGUAAAAUUGCCAUUGAAACUGGCGAACUUGAGUACAGUAGAGGUAGGCGGAAUUCGUGGUGUAGCGGUGAAAUGCUUAGAUAUCACGAAGAACUCCGAUUGCNAAGGCAGCUUGCUGGACUGUAACUGACGCUGAGGCACGAAAGCGUGGGGAUCAAACANNANUAGAUACCCUGGUAGUCCACGCCGUAAACGAUGAAUGCUAGCUGUUANCGAUAUACUG